UGGGGAAUAUUGGGGCAAUGGGGGGAACCCUGACCCAGCGACGCCGCGUGAGGGAAGAAGGUCUUCGGAUUGUAAACCUCUUUCAGCAGGGAAGAUAAAGACGGUACCUGCAGAAGAAGCCACGGCUAACUACGUGCCAGCAGCCGCGGUAAUACGUAGGUGGCAAGCGUUAUCCGGAUUUAUUGGGUGUAAAGGGUGUGUAGGCGGGGCUGCAAGUCAGACGUGAAAAUCAUGGGCUCAACCCAUGACCUGCGUUUGAAACUGUGGCUCUUGAGAGUGGGAGAGGUAAACGGAAUUCCUAGUGUAGCGGUGAAAUGCGUAGAUAUUAGGAGGAACACCAGUGGCGAAGGCGGCUUACUGGACGGUCAAUGACGCUGAGGCUCGAAAGCGUGGGAGCAAACAAGAUUAGAUACCCUGGUAGU
rnacentral:rRNA from 1 species